rnacentral:rRNA from 9 species
CGGUAGCUAAAUGCGGAAGAGAUAAGUGCUGAAAGCAUCUAAGCACGAAACUUGCCCCGAGAUGAGUUCUCCCUGAGACUUAGAGUCUCCUGAAGGAACGUUGAAGACGACGACGUUGAUAGGCCGGGUGUGUAAGCGCAGCGAUGCGUUGAGCUAACCGGUACUAAUGAACCGUGAGGCUUAACCUUACAACGCCGAAG